GAGGGACGAGGCCACGGCGGCGACGGAGCGCCAGAGCUCCGGGAAGGAGACGCGGCGCCCCGUGGCGGCGUCGAUGAGCGCGGUGGUCCCCGAGUGGCGCCGCGACGUGAGGAACGUGGUCACGUCGAGGUCGGGCUCCGCGGGGAGCGCCACGGGCCGUCGCUUGCUAUAGAAGGUCGCGUUCGCCGCGCAGAACCCACUGCGCGGAUCCACCUCCCAUUCCGAUCCCUUCUUCUUCUCCGGGUACGCCAUGAUCCUCUCUCCUCUAUCUCUCUCCUCUAUCUCUCUCCCUCUUUCCUACUUAAUUUAUCUCACCCAUUACUGUGCGUUUUAUAUAUAUACAAUGCUAGGCGAAUGAAUCUAGAAGAUAAGCUACCUAUCUCUCAAACAAAAAAAAAAAGAAAAAAAAGAAUUUAGAAGGUAAGCAAUAAAUGUGAAUCAGUUGGGGGGCAGGGGAACUAACUUGAUAAUGGACGCAGGUACGAGAAGAAGCAAAACUUCUCAGGGUCCACUUUUAGCUUUCUUUCUAAAAAUAAUAGCUGCACGUUAAACAUAAAUAUAAUAGAGCGGAGUUACUGUAUUAUCAAAAAUGUAAAGUAUUUGCUGCUUUCAAUUUUUUUAUCCUUAGAUUAAUUUUUUUAAUUAUUUCUAACAUUUAAAUUAACAUUAUUACUCUAUAAAAACUACUCAACUCUAGAUGACCAUUCAACUCAGAUAGAGAAAACCGCAGUCAUCCUAAUCGUUCAAUUUUAAUUCAAAGUUAAAAAAUCAGAAACGCCAAAUUUUCUAUACUUUCGGCAGUAUGGUAGCUCUAUAAAUAAAUUUUAAAAUUUUUAAGUUUAUGCCAGCACAAUCAUCAAAUAAUAAGACACCAAAAUACCUUACUACUACUUAUUUAAAUAUAGUAGUUCAGUUCUAUUUAGGCCCAUCUUUGUUAGUAGGAAACUGCAUGCUCAAGAUUAAUAUGUUGAUAAUUUUAUAUAAUAUUUUAAGUUAUGAAUUAAUUAAAUUCUCGCUAAUAGCAGUUUUGAAGACCAGUGGGCAAAUGAUAAGAAAAGAAGGAAUUUUUAGUAUAUAAACUACGAUGUAAAAUUUUUAAUGUAAUUAAAUUACGCACACACCUUAAUAUCAAUAAAUACAAUAACAACACAUAAAAAAGACAAUAUUUCAAAAAAUCUAUGGAAAAUGCUAGUUGUUCACUUAAAAAUAAGAUGUAAAUUUUAUACCCAUUAAUCUAAAAAAUUAGAAUUUAUUACAAAAUUUUAAUAUUAAAAAAUUGGGUAAGCUAAGAUUGAAAAUAUUAAACUUUAAAAGAAUAAAAUAUAUAAUUUAUAUAAUAUAAAAAAAAAUUUAUUCAUUUAGUUUUAUUGCGUCUCGGUCUCUCACCAACGCCCUUGCUCGUAACAUGCGCCUCGGUCUCUCACCAACGCCCUUGCUCGGCUCCGUACGGAAGAGCCCACAACGGCUUGGCUUAAUUGAAGCUUUUAUUAAAUAUACGUGGCCUUUUGGCUACAUGUACUUUUACAUAUCUAUCCAUCUGUCUUUCUAUCUAUCCAACAAUCUAUGUACAUAUAUUAAUGGAUAAUACCGUCACAUCAAGAAAAACGGCUCCUUAACGAACCGCGUUAGUACCGACUGUCCCUAUAGGAAAUGAUAAAGAAUUUGGUAGUUGAUAUUCGAGAUCCCAAUUUCGAAUUCUAAUUAAUUCACAUUUUCAGCUAAAUUUAUUUCUAAAUAAAAUAAACGAAACGGAUAGUGCGGUACUUUUUUUUUAAGACAUGAGAGAAUAGUUAGCAUGUCAUGUGNAAAUAUUUAAAUAAAUUAUUAUACAAUAAAAAUUUAUCUUUCAUAUAUAUAUCUUAGAGUUGAUUUAUGAUGCACUCAAUAGAUCUAAUAAUUUUUUUUUUUUAAGAAAAGAACCGCGUUAGUCUUAUUAUUUAAGACAUGAGAGAAUAGUUAGCAUGUCAUGUGUUCAAAAAAAAAAAAUUAUUAGAUCUAUUGAGUGCAUCAUAAAUCAACUCUAAGAUAUAUAUAUGAAAGAUAAAUUUUUAUUGUAUAAUAAUUUAUUUAAAUAUUUUAUAUUAUAUUAUAUAUAUUAUGUUAUAUAUUAUUUUAUAGUAUUAAUUACUAAAUAUUUUAUUAAUUAUCUAACAUUCCGUACGGUGUAUAGAGUAUUAGUGUACACAAGGUGCAACGACGAUUUUUUCUCUGUUAUGAAAUUAUGAAUCCACCCUAUUUAACAUUUUCUACACCAAGUGUAUAUGUGUACGUGCACCGCAUACUUAAAAUAUUUUAAUAUAGAUUUAAAAAUAUAAUUCUUGAACGUAAUUUAAGUCAUUAGGCUUUGUAAAUAAGAUAUAUUUAAUUAAAUUUUGAGAUUGUAAUAUUAGUCAUUUAAUAUAAAUAGUGGUGUAUGAAUGGUUAAUAUGUACUAGACUUUACAUGUAAUAAUUUUUUUUCUCUCAUCAAUUUUAAGAAGAUAAAGAUCCUCUCAUCUAUUUGGCAAUUUAAAAUAAGUCUUUCAGUUUUAAAUUUUUAGUUCAAAAUUUUAUUUAUAAAAUAACUACCAAAUUGAUUAAAUUUGAUUGAAUUUUGAAAUAAAGUAUAAAAAUAAUUUAAUUCUAAAAACACUAAAAGAUAAGAAAAUAUUAAUUAAACAAAGGCUAACGUUGAGGAAGUAAUUUCAAUAUGACCGUAAUUUCAAUAUGACCUAUAAUUGAUGACACAAUAUAUUUUAAUUCUUAUGAAAAUAAAGUUUUAUUUUGAUAUAUGUAAUCUUUUAUAUUUCUUUAGAAAAGUUAUGUAUAAAAAUAUUUAAUUAAAAAAAUUAUCUUCAAAUAUUUUAUAAUUAAUAAUAUCAAAAAAUAUUUUUUAAUAAGAAAAACGUGUAUGAAUUUAUCAUUUUUUAUAUAUAUUCAAAAGAAAAGAAAUUGAACGUAAAAUUUUAGUGAAUGUUUAUAUAUACAGAAGCCCCACCUUAAGUCCUUAACUACAGUAAUCUAUUAUAUUAUUAUAAUUUGAAGUACUAUUUAUUUAUUUUACUUAGGUUAUUUAAAUGGUUAUAAAAAGAAAAGACCUACAACUAAGUGUCAACUAUUGUAAAAUUUUAUUGAAUGAUUAAAUAUAGAGAGGCCUAUUUUAGUUAUAGUGUAAUAAUCUAUCAUCAUUUUAAGUACUAAACUCAAUAAUAAUUUACUAUAACAGCAUCUUCUCACUGUAUUGCGCAGGUCUUUUAACUAUAUAUAUAUAUAUAUAUAUAUAUAUAUAUAUAUAUAUAUAUAUAUAUAUAUAGAGUUUGGUUACUAUACUUUUAUGAAUACGAUCGCCCUCGUACUCAUAAGUUAUUUUCAAUGAUAGAGCUUCCGAAUCGACGAUCCAUACCGUUAAAUAUUAUCUAGAGUAUAUAAAACUUUUAGAAAUCAAUUUCAUAAUUUUUCGACAUCAUUUACCUUAUGAUCAAAAGCUCACAAAAUUGACAAUUUUUAACGGCCGGUAUAGAAUACUUGAUAGUUUAAUGGUGUGAGAGAAUUGGAAUAGGUUGAACUUUUGAUAGAAAAUUCUAUCACUACCUCGAUAAAGAUCAAUAACUCCGAUCUUAAAUUGAAGGAUCCGAUUUCCAUUUUUAAAACGUCGUUCAAUUUUCACCGUUCAUUUUAUACUCAUUUGAUGGACUUUAUUAUGUUUUCGAAAAAUUAUGAAAUUUAUUUUUUAAAAGCUUCAAAUAUUCUAGAUCAUAUUUAACGGAGUGAAUCGUCGAUUCGGAAGCCCCAUCAUCGAAAACAACUUAUGAGUACGAAGGGCCUACUACUCAUAAGAGUAUAGUAGCCCUACUAUAUAUAUAUAUAUAUAUAUAUAUAUAUAUAAAGAGAGAGAGAAAGAAGUAUGCUAAUGCUAAAAUGCUACUAAUAGCACCAAUGACUUGAUGCUAUAAGGUUUUCGGCUCUUAUAUUAAGAGAUGUAUGGUUAUGAUGAUAGUAAUUUUAUAGGGUUGAGUGAGUAGUUAGUCGAAUAAUAUGAUUUAGUAGAUGAAAAUGAUUAAAGGGAUAGAUUUAACGGCAAAAAAUUGAAUAGCACCAAAUAUUCGAUACUAUUAAUAGUAUCCCGACCCCCAUAUAUAUAUAUAGAGAGAGAGAGAGAGAGAGAGAGAGAGAGAGAGAGAGAGAGAGAGAGAGAGAGAGAGAGAAUAGGAGUUUCUAUACUUCUAUAAAGUACUAAAUCAUUGAUUAUUUCAAGUUUUCAGCCCUUGGCAUUUAUAAAAUUUAUAGGAAACCUUUUGCGAUUGUUCCUACUUUAUAAAAGAUUUAGGAAUAAAAGUAUUAAAAGAUUGGGAUUUUGAUAUUAAGGCAUGGGAAUAAAAAUCUGAAUCCAAUGGCAUAUAAAGAAGAUUCAGUUGUUAUGAAAGAUUUUGGAGACGGCAAGCACAAAAUUAACCUUAUUAGUUUAGGACCAGCGCUUGGUGGUUGUUAAUUUUUAUUUCAAUAUUCAAAAUUAUACUUGAUAAAAUCUUUCAAAAAUUUUGACUUAUCCCCUAAAUUAGAAAAGUACGUUAGAUAUUACAUGGUACGUAUAAUGAUACAAAACAUCUUCAAAAGUUUUAUACACAUCAUAUAUCAAAAACAUCUAUUACACAUAUGAAAUAUAAUUCUUCACUUCUAGUCUUUGUUCGAUUCGCCGGUUUCACCAAAACUGCAAAUAAAAUCAAAUAAUUUCAAAUAUAAUUUGUCAAAUAUUUGGAUAGAAAAUUGAUACAAUUAAUAAGAAAUCAAUCUCUACUAUUAAAUUACCAAAGAUGUUGCCUCUUGUUAUGUAAAAUUUCGGCCAAAUUGUCAAAAGACUGCAUAGAACUGUUGAAAAGAUUAUUUAACAAUUUUGAAGCUAAAAGAGAAGACAUAAAUUAACCAAACACAGCUCUUUUAAAUGAACAUCAGUAGCAAGAAAAAGAUAAUAAUGCAACAUGGAGUAGUGAAGAAAAGAUAAUGAUGCAACAAUACUAUUAACAUUAUAAAAAGAUCUAAAUGAAAUACACGAAUCCUAGACCAAGUGGCAAAAGACUUAGUGGUUGGUACCCGAUACCCAAGUUCGAAUCCUAGCUGACUCGCAUUUCUAGCUAAAUUUAUUUCUAAAUGAAAUAAACGAAGCAGGUAGCGUGCUACCUAUCUCUCAAAAAAAACAAACAAAAAAAAAACAUUAUAAAAAGAUCUCAAAUAACUCUCAUUGCCAAUCCAAAGUAAGACCACAUUCAGUGUCACACUAAUGGUGCAUUAUCCCAUCUAUUGGAAUAAUUGCAACCAAGUAGAGUCACGAAUCAGUAUUCAAGCGCAGUCAAAUUGUCGCGUCCUCCACAAACGAACAAUGAGAAAGCAACAAUCUGUCCAUAUUGGUGGAGAACUUAAAAAAAUUCUCAUAACAGAUCAGAAGCAAGACCAACCGAUCCUCUUACUGAUUUUUAGAAACAGCCUCUUGCUGAUGAAGGAAAACAGAGAACAGAUAAGGAGAACUUGCUGGUUUUUAGAAACAUCCUCUUACUGAUGUAAAGAAGCAUGGCUAACCAAUCCUGGCUCAAGGGUCAUAGAUAAUAACCAUAAACUCACAGAAACCCCAGUUAGUACAGAUAGCAAGUUAAAAAUAGCCAGUCAGCAAAAUACCUAAGAAAUUUUCAUCAGGGUUCCUAUAUGUAAAAUAGAGAAGCAAGCAAGUAGCAUCGAGAAGCACCACACAAGAAACCUCGAAUAAUGCUUGAAUAAGAUGCCUCCACAAGAUACAGAUCUAAAAAAUUUCAAAAGAAUAGUAAACAAAGAACAGAAAAGGAGAUAAUCUAGAAAUAGCUGAAGAGAUAUAGGGAGCAAGCAUAAACUUAUAUAGAGCAGCAAAAUAGACUGAAGAAAAAAGCAUUACUGUGGAUUGGUCAAAGGAUCUCAGGAGUUUCCCAGCUAGACUCUAUCAAAAAGUGAUCUGAUUCUUAUGUUUGCAGCCGAUGAAACAUUAGCAGGCAAAACAAGACCGACAUUUGAAGCAAGAUUGACAUCCAAUUGCAGAUAACACAUAAAAAGAUCAUAGAUAAUUCUCAUCAUUGAUCCAACGCAAGGCCAACCUUCAUCUGCAGUCUAAUACCUUGCUGAGCGUAUUCAUCAUUGAUCCGAAGCAAAACAGGAUUAAAGUGCAGUCUUUUACUUUCGAAAAAUGGAUCCUCAGCAGAUGGUCACAUGAAGCAGACAGUAAGAACAAAUUAUGCUGUGUUCUUGGCAACAGUCACAAAGCAAGUAGAGUGAAGAAGCUGUAUUCACAAAGCAAGGGCAUGGGCGAAGCCACGGCGAGCGGAAGAAGGAGAAGGAAGGUGGGAAGGGAGAGCUAGGGUUAGAGGCCUGCAGAAAAUACAGGCAUAGGUCGAUAGGUCUGCAGGAGGAAUAAGAGGGUAGGCGAAAGGACAUGUAACGAAAAGGGUGCGCGAAAGGCUGCGAUAGAGGGCUAUGCUUAUAGACCUGUAGGAAAUAAUGACUUCCAAAAAGAUAAGUCUAUAGGACUGCAAGAGGAAUUAGAAUGUAGGUUUAGAUCUAUAGGUCUAUAGCAGAAUAGUAGAGGGAAAAGAGAAAGAGUAAGGUUCAUCUAUUUAGAAGACGACAAGUGGAACAAGCUAACAGCCGAUUUAUAUAUUUGUCUUGAUUAUCAAAGCCUUAUAACAUAGGCAUUCCCAACUGAACCAAUUCGCUUGAACUUGACACCGCUCUUGCAUUUUGGACUCAAAUUAAAAUCAACAUUAUUACCGCAUAAAAUAUAGUCACACAAUAAACAUAUGUAAGGAAGAUGAAAGCAUAUGAAUAGCUCGUGAUAAUAUUAAGAUCAGAACUAGACUUAGCCUUCAACUUAUUGCUUCAAUUCUACAUUUACAAGUACAGCUUGAUACAUCUACAGACUACAAUGACAACCACAUUGGUGAGCCUGCGCAACUUUAAAACAUACACUGUAAAAUACAAAUCUGCGGUCAUCAACUUUUUGUUUACGGGCACAUUAUCUCCAUUGUAAGCUGAUCAUCAUAUUCACGAUAAUUAGGUCCAGAAAUCAAAACAUCUUUGCUCACUCUUGCUUGCAGUAUCUCAUUUUCGGUCAAGCUUGAGCAGAGACUACCAGGAGAGAGUUUGAAUUGGUCCCCCGCUUCACAAAACGGAUUCACACAUGACCUUUUGAACUAUCAUACAAAAGCUACGUACAGUACCUUUUCCUUGUAUAUAGCAGCAACUUAUUCAAGUAGAUAUAGCUCAUUACUGCAUAAAAUAUAGGCAUUCCAAGCUGAACCAAUUCGCGUGAACUUGACACCGCUCUAGCAUUUUGGACUCUUAAAUAAUUUCAACAUUGUUACCGCAUAAAAUACAGUCAUAUAAUAAACAUAUUUAAGGAAGAUGAAAAGCAUAUGAAUAGCUUGCAAUAAUGGUAAGAUCAGAAUUAAACUUAUUUUUCAGCUUAUUGCUUCAAUUCUACAUUUAGGAGUACAGCUUGAUACACCUACAGACUACAAUCACAUCCAUGUUCGUGAGACCGCCCAACUUUAAAACAUACACUAUAAAUUACACAUCUGCGAUCAUCAGCUUUUGUUUACUGGCGCAUUAUCUCCAUCAAAAACUGGUCAUUUUAUUCGGGACAAUUAGAUCUAGAAUCAAAACAUCUUUGCUUACUCUUGCUCGCAGUAUCUCAUUUUCGGUCAAGCUUGAGCAGAGACUAUCAGGAGAGAGUUUAUUGGCCCCCCGCUUCACAAAACGGAUCCACACAUGGCCUUUUGAACUAGCAUACAAAGAGCUACCAGGUACAGUACCUUUUCCUUGUACGUAGCAGCAAAUUAUUCAAGUAGAAAUAGCCCACAAAAGGGUAUUAGAGUACCAGAUUAGAGUUUGGAGGCAGUGGCGAGCUUGAUGAGAUCUUUUCUCAGAAUCUUCCCCGAUGCGUUCUUCGGAAUGUCCGAUACAAAGGCCACUUUUCGAAUCUUCUUGUAAGGCGCCACCUAUAAUUAUUUAACACAGAAAUCAGAAUACUACAUACUAAAAUGAUGAAUGGACCAUAACGUUAUGUUCAUCAAACUGCAAAAGCGAACCGAAAAUAAUGGUUUUCAUCUAAUUUGUUUUUAUUUUUGUGGAAAUCGCUUCAACUUGGGCGUGAAAAAAAGUAAACACAAAUGGUUCUGUCUAGCUUUGGUUUCUAAGCAACUGAUUGUUAAAUACAAACUGUUAAAAUAUUGUUCAUGAAUAGCUUAAAUUUUUAGAGAAAAAGAUGACAAUGCAUAGCAGCAAAGAUCUACAAACCUGGAUUUACCAGUGAGGUAAGUGCACAUCAUAGCAUACAUCUAUAACACAUUCUACUUAUCACUUGAUAACAUUAGGUACAUUGAAAUCGAGAUUUACCUGUUUUUCCACAAACUUCAUCACCUCACUCUCGGACAAUUGGCUCCCCUCCUUCCUCACCACGUACGCCAUCGGAACCUGCCCGGCCUCCCUAUCCGGGAACCUGCACCAAUUUCUCAACAAUUAAGAAAGCCAACACAGAUCGAAUCACACGGUUCAUAUUACUCCAACAUAUAGUAAGGCUCUGCAACUCCUUACGGUAUAACAGCAGCGUCAGCAACAUCGGGGUGAGUUAGUAACAAUGCCUCCAACUCUGCAGGAGGCACCUGUAACAAAGCAUUAUCAGCCACACAAUCAAAAUCAGACGAGUCUCGUUAGUCAUCAGUACUGCAUAUUCUAACUGGACCGCCAAAAUUACCUGAUAGCCUUUGUACUUGAUUAGCUCCUUGAGCCGAUCCACCACGAAGAGGUACCCAUCCUCGUCUAUGUAGCAGAGAUCCCCAGUUCUAAGCCACCCCUCCGAGUCCAAAGUCGAGCGCGUGGCCUCCUCGUUCUUGAAAUACCCUGCAACAUUGUCAUUUCAUAAAUAACAGAAUAACAAGUACAGAAUCUUUGUAAACCUGGUGUGUACGAAAUUUCUGCAUGCUAAGUAAUCUAGAUGUUUAGCAGAAGGCAUAGCGCAUUUAAAUCAUUAGGGUGACCGACCAUCAAAUUACAGCCAAUGAUUGCGCCUUUAUUUCAGCUAGACGGUCAGAUCAAUAGUGUGAAAAGCUUUAUACUCAUUGAAGCUAUUAUAGAGAAUCUGUGCGUGAGAAUAACUUCCAAUGACGAGACUGUUUAAUUAACGGUCUAUAUAUGUUGGUUUCAGAUUCAAAUGUUGUGCAUUCUGAGUUUAUUUUCACAUGGAAUUCCCCGUGGUAGACCAUCUAAUUAAUCGUGUAUAUUGCUUCAAUAUUCGAGUACUACAGGCGACAGAUGAUAUAUUAUACUGUCUCACAAGAGGGCUUUUAUACAAUUUUGUGGAAAAAUUCUUCAAACCCCUGACAGAUAAGAUGUCCAACAGAUGUUAAAAUAUUAACAAAAUUAUCUAAUAUUUUAAGUCUACGUAUAGCCAUUCAAAACUCUGGAAACUAUUUGUACCACACCAUAACAUUAAGAUCAACAUGUAAGUAUAACAUGUAAAAGAUAAACUAUGGGCUACAUCAACGUACCUGCCUAUUUAUGUGAUAUAUACAUUUACGGAUUGUACUCGCUACUCAUUUACAUACGAGUAUAGAGAUGAGCAAGGUAAGGUACCUUUCAUGACGUACGGCCCGCGGAUCCAGAGCUCGCCGGUGCGGUUGACGGGGAGGGGUUUCCCGGUGUCGGGAUCGACGAUCCGCGCCUCGGUGUUGGGCGACAGCAGCCCCGCCGUGCCGUACCUCCGGCUCUCCUCGGCCGAGUCGGUGGACGCGCCGAUCCCCGUGCUCUCCGUGAGCCCGUAACCCUGCAGUAUCUCGACCCCGGGGUACUUCUCCCUGAAGCCCUCGAUCACCUCCUUGCUCAGCGGCGCACCCCCGGACAGUAUCCUCCGCAGCCGCCCCAGCGGCAGCUUCCCCCUCCCGCUCCCGCUCCCCAACAUCGCCACCAGGAUCGGCGGCACCAGCGGGAGGUACGUCGCCCCGUAGGCCCCGAUCGCGCGCAGCAUCUCCCCGAUCUCGAACUUGGAGAGCACGACGAUGGUGGAUCCCGCCCCCAGAAGCCCCGUGGCGAACGCGGCGAGGCCGUAGACGUGGAACAUCGGGACCGUGCAGAUGAAGGUCUCCGGCUCGCCGCCCCCCGAGGAUUCGUCGAGGUUGAACCGGUUGACGAUGAUCUGGACCAUGGAGAUGAGGUUGCGGUGGGUGGCGACCACCCCCUUGCUCGCCCCCGUCGUCCCCGAGGAGUAGAGCAGCGUCGCGGGGUCGUCCUGGCGCACGGGCUCGCGCAUCGGGUGGGGAAUGGGGUCGGGGUCGGGAUGGGCGGCGAUCAUGUCGGCGAUGGUGCAGAGGAUCCGGGGAUCGUCGUCGUCGGCGAGGCGGGAGUCGUCGAGGAGGACGAUGGGGAGGUCGGGGCGCGGGGGGAGCUUGGGGACGAGGGCGCGCGGGGCGAAGGCGACGGCGGGGGCGGCGUCGGCGACCUGCUUGGCGAUCUCGGCGGGGGUGUUGAGGGGGUUGGUGGUGGUGAGCACGGCGCCGAGGGACAUGGCGGCGAGGGCGACGACGGGGAAGCGGAUGGAGUUGGGGGAGAGGAGGAGGACGACGCGGCCCUUGCGGAGGGAGAGGGGCGGGGCGCGGAGGGACGAGGCCACGGCGGCGACGGAGCGCCAGAGCUCCGGGAAGGAGACGCGGCGCCCCGUGGCGGCGUCGAUGAGCGCGGUGGUCCCCGAGUGGCGCCGCGACGCGAGGAACGUGGUCACGUCGAGGUCGGCCUCCGCGGGGAGCGCCACGGGCCGCCGCUUGCUGUAGAAGGUCGCGUUCGCCGCGCAGAACCCACUGCGCGGAUCCACCUCCCUUUCCGAUCCCUUCUUCUUCUCCGGGUACGCCAUGAUCCUCUCCCCUCUCUCUCUCUCUCUCUCUCUCUCUCUUUCUCUUCCUACAAUUUCUCUCUACUAAUUGCUAUGUUUUUCUCAUACAAUGCUAGACUAGUAGUAGUAGUAGAAGAUGAAUGAGGACGAGUUUAGAAGAUAUUUUAGAGUGGGUAAUAAAAGCAAUAUAUGCGAAUGGGUUGGGGGUAGACUGUAGAGGGGGUGACUAAUUAAGAUAAUGGGAGCUGGUGGUAUAAGGGAAAGCAAUACUUUUUGCGGGCCACUGCUAACUUUCUUUGUCAAAGGAUAGUCGCAGAUUAAGCAUUGAUCUAAAAAUAUAUAUAAAUAUAUAUAAAAAUGGACUACUAAACUAUAAGAAGAGUUUUAGAUUCAUGCUGGCACAAUUAUUAAAUAGUAAAUUCUAGACAUUCAAAAAAUACAAAAGUCUAUGGUAAAUAUUAUUGCACUAAUAUUUAAUGCCAUAGUAGCUCAGUUCUAUUUAUAUCCCGUCUCUGUCCUUUGAGUUGAUAUGUUGGUAACUCUUUGUAAUGUUUUAAAUUAUGAAUUUAAAUAAAUUCUCUCUAAUAGCAUUUUAGAAGAGCAAUAGGCCACAGCAGUAUUAUUAUUAUUAUUAUUUUUUUCGAGAGAUAGAUAACACGCUACCCGCUUCGUUUAUUUUAUUUAGAAAUAAAUUUAGCUAGAAAUAUGAAUCAACUAGGAUUCGAAUUUAGGUCUCGAAUAUCAACCACCAACUUCUUUACCACUUGUUUUAGGGACGGUCGGUGCCAUAGCAGUAUUAUUACAUAUGAGUUCUGCUCACUGUAAAAGUGUAAAUGGGGCAGCCUACUCAAGAAAGAGUAAAACUAGUGCUAGUGAGAAAAAGAAGAAGGGAACGUCGGAUUUCCUCUCAGUAAACAUUGCAGGUUUUAAAUCAUUAAUACAUAUGAUGUAAAAGUUUUAAUGUUUUAAUUAAAUUAAGCACACAGCUUAGUAUCAAUACUUUAAUAACAUAGAAAAUGACAAUAUUUCAAAAAAUCUAUGAGAAAAUGCUCGUUUUUUAUUUAAAAAUAAAGUGUGAAUUUUAUACUUAUUAAUCUAAACUUUUAGAUUUUAUUUAAAAUUUUUAAUAUUAAAAAACUGAUAAGCUAAAUAUGAAAAUAUUAAACUUCAAAAGAAUAAAAUAUAAAAUUUAUAUAUUUAUGUUUUUGGUUGUACAGAAAAUAGUUUUUUUUUUCUUUUACAGAAUAAAGCUCGUAAGCAAUUCAUUUAUUAAAAUAUAGCGUUUGAUUAUAAAUGAAUAAUUUUGGAGAAGCAAAUAAAAACACAUUUUCACAUAAAAAAAAAAGAGAAAGAAAAAAAAACCUUCAAAAUUGAAGGGGAAAAAUGAAAGUGGCCGUCCUCAAAGUAUACAUUUACUAGAAAAGUGAACCAAGAUUUCAAAUUUUAAGUAUGUGACGGAAAUAAAAAAAAUAAAAUAAAAAAUAAUAAUUAUUCAGAUCGCGAUCUCGAACCGACUCCUCACUUUGAAUCAUAUCAGAAUAUUUUUUUUUCUUUUUUGAAUUCAUCAAGUUUCCAAGGAUGUACGUGAAAGCGACAAUACCCAGUGAAUACCAGAAGAAAAACAUGUUUCAAGUACAAACAGAAAAAAGAAAAGAAAAAAUAUAUAUAUUUUAUAACCCCUCAUUCAAACUUCCAUAGUGAGUCUUUGUCGUGUCAACUUUUUUUAAUGCUAAAAAUUUGAAAAAAGUUCAAAUUUUAGAGUGAAGGAGUGUAUCUGUGUGUCAACGCACUCCCAUUUAUACUAAAGGAUUUUAAAAUAUUAAUUUUUUAUCUUACAAAUUUAUUAAAGAUUUAUAUUUUUUAGAAUAAAAAAAAUAUUAUAUCAUACAAAUUUUGCAUUGAUAAAUGACCUGAGAUCAUUUUUUUGAAAGAUAAGUAACACGCUACCCGCUUCGUUUAUUUCAUUUAGAAAUAAAUUUAAUUAUAAAUAUAAAUCAACUAGAAUUCGAAUUUGAGUUUCGGAUACCAACUAUUAAAUUUUUUUGCCACUUGUGCGAUCGGUAUUAUCUCUACUAUCAUUAAAAUCACUUUCCGAGAAGCACUCUCAUUUGAAUGGGUGGUACUGCGCGGACAAAAAUUCUAUGGGCAGCGUUUAGCGCCUCCAAAGUGGACGGCACCGUUGUUCAGAAGCACGUGUAAAACACUUCACAUGUUAACCUUUUCUUAGAAAACCCAUGGGGCCCAAAAUUUAUCAUAAAAUUUCGUGUUACUACUAAUAUAAUAAUAUCCCUCAAACUCUAUAUGAAAUUACAUUUUUCUUUUUUUCCCUUUUCCUGUUUCUGAACGGUGCAAAAUAUAAAUUGUUCUUUUGUUCUUGUGAAUGCUUAAAACCAACAGGUUUUGACUAUUAACUCUGAUGGGCAUUUCACGGUAAAAUAGGCCUACACCAUGCUGAAUGACAGUGGUACGAUGGAUGAUCAUUCUUGCAAAAUUUGCAAUCUUCGUAUUCCCCUGAAAGUCAAAGUAUUCUCCUGGCUCGUUCUGAAGAAAAGGAUCCCUACUGUAGAUAAUCUUCUAAGGAGAGAAUGGACCGGAGACUUGACUUGUGUGCUGCGCAGAUCUGAAGAGAAAACCGUUGAUCAUCUGAUUGCACAGUGAGUUUUUGCCAAGUUCCUCUUGGUGACUAGUGUCGGGGAUAUCCAGCUUGAGGAUUUAGAAAACGAUAUUACCUCCGCAUGGGACAGGUGGACGAACAAAAAUAAACUGCAGUCAAUGACCAACAAGCUAUCGACUUUCAUAGCCUACUGGUGGGUCAUUUCUUUCGGAACACCCGCCCGGACUCCGUACUAGCUGCUCGCAAGUUGAAAUCCGUGACGAAACUUUGGGAACUUCUCCGGCUUGUAAAUCAGACCCACCACUCCUAGUUUUUUUUUUU
rnacentral:lncRNA from 1 species